AACGAACGCUGGCGGCAUGGCUAAAACAUGCAAGUCGCACGCGAAAGCUCCUUUCGGGGAGCCGGUAGAGUGGCGAACGGGCGAGGAAUACAUGGGUAACGUACCCUGGGCACGGGGAUAGCCGCGGGAAACCGCGGGUAAUACCCGAUGAGACCACGGUCCUGCAGGGGACUGCGGUCAAAGGCAGGGACCUUCGGGCCUGCCGGCCUGGGAUCGGCCCAUGUCCUAUCAGCUAGUUGGCGAGGUAACGGCUCACCAAGGCUACGACGGGUAGCGGGACUGAGAGGUUGGCCCGCCGCAUUGGGACUGAGACACUGCCCAGACUCCUACGGGAGGCUGCAGUAACGGAUAUUGGGCAAUGGGCGAAAGCCUGACCCAGCGAUGCCGCGUGUGGGAAGAAGCCCUUCGGGGUGUAAACUACUGUCAGGGACUACCAAGCAAUGCGCGCCAAUAACGCGCAACGC
rnacentral:rRNA from 1 species